GGUUAAGUGACUAAGCGUACACGGUGGAUGCCUAGGCAGUCAGAGGCGAUGAAGGGCGUGCUAAUCUGCGAAAAGCGUCGGUAAGGUGAUAUGAACCGUUAUAACCGGCGAUACCCGAAUGGGGAAACCCAGUGUGUUUCGACACACUAUCAUGUCAUGAAUACAUAGUGGCAUGAGGCGAACCGGGGGAACUGAAACAUCUAAGUACCCCGAGGAAAAGAAAUCAACCGAGAUUCCCCCAGUAGCGGCGAGCGAACGGGGAGGAGCCCAGAACCUGAAUCGGCUUGUGUGUUAGUGGAAGCGUCUGGAAAGUCGCGCAGCAAAGGGUGAUAGCCCCGUACACUAAAAUGCACAGGUCGUGAGUUCGAUGAGUAGGGCGGGACACGUGACAUCCUGUCUGAAUAUGGGGGGACCAUCCUCCAAGGCUAAAUACUCCUGACUGACCGAUAGUGAACCAGUACCGUGAGGGAAAGGCGAAAAGAACCCCGGCGAGGGGAGUGAAAUAGAACCUGAAACCGUGUACGUACAAGCAGUGGGAGCACCUUCGUGGUGUGACUGCGUACCUUUUGUAUAAUGGGUCAGCGACUUAUAUUUUGUAGCAAGGUUAACCGUAUAGGGGAGCCGUAGGGAAACCGAGUCUUAACUGGGCGAAUAGUUGCAAGGUAUAGACCCGAAACCCGGUGAUCUAGCCAUGGGCAGGUUGAAGGUUGGGUAACACUAACUGGAGGACCGAACCGACUAAUGUUGAAAAAUUAGCGGAUGACUUGUGGCUGGGGGUGAAAGGCCAAUCAAACCGGGAGAUAGCUGGUUCUCCCCGAAAGCUAUUUAGGUAGCGCCUCGUGAACUCAUCUUCGGGGGUAGAGCACUGUUUCGGCUAGGGGGCCAUCCCGGCUUACCAAACCGAUGCAAACUCCGAAUACCGAAGAAUGUUAUCACGGGAGACACACGGCGGGUGCUAACGUCCGUCGUGAAGAGGGAAACAACCCAGACCGCCAGCUAAGGUCCCAAAGUCAUGGUUAAGUGGGAAACGAUGUGGGAAGGCAUAGACAGCCAGGAUGUUGGCUUAGAAGCAGCCAUCAUUUAAAGAAAGCGUAAUAGCUCACUGGUCGAGUCGGCCUGCGCGGAAGAUGUAACGGGGCUAAACCAUGCACCGAAGCUGCGGCAGCGACGCUUAGGCGUUGUUGGGUAGGGGAGCGUUCUGUAAGCCGUUGAAGGUGGCCUGUGAGGGUUGCUGGAGGUAUCAGAAGUGCGAAUGCUGACAUAAGUAACGAUAAAGCGGGUGAAAAGCCCGCUCGCCGGAAGACCAAGGGUUCCUGUCCAACGUUAAUCGGGGCAGGGUGAGUCGACCCCUAAGGCGAGGCUGAAAAGCGUAGUCGAUGGGAAACAGGUUAAUAUUCCUGUACUUGGUGUUACUGCGAAGGGGGGACGGAGAAGGCUAGGCUGGCCGGGCGACGGUUGUCCCGGUUUAAGCGUGUAGGGGGUGUGACCUGGUAAAUCCGGUUGCAUACUAACCCUGAGGCGUGAUGACGAUGCACUACGGUGCAGAAGUAGUUGAUGCCCUGCUUCCAGGAAAAUCCUCUAAGCUCCAGGUAACAUUAAAUCGUACCCCAAACCGACACAGGUGGUCAGGUAGAGAAUACCAAGGCGCUUGAGAGAACUCGGGUGAAGGAACUAGGCAAAAUGGUGCCGUAACUUCGGGAGAAGGCACGCUGGCAUGUAGGUGAAGUCCCU
rnacentral:rRNA from 1 species